GGGCGGGGGCGGGCCGGCCGCGGGGGUCAUCGCGUCUGGUCCUUAGAGCUGGGGCGGCAGUGCCGGGGGAGGGCCCCGCCUCCGCCGGAAACGGGGCCGACCAGCUGCUGGGCAGCCCGGAGUUGCUGCCGCGGAGGCGCGCAGCUGCCCCGGGGUUGCCGGGCCGCGUCUGAGGCUGAGAUGCAGCUAGCGGCGGGGGCCGUUAGUUACAGCGGUGCUUCUCGCCCUUUGAGCAGCGCUAGGAAAUGCGGGCCCGGAGCUGCUUCUGCUCCUGUUUUGACUACAGAAAAAUAACAGCGCCGCUUUCCUGUUGCCCGAAACCUAGAUCAAACAGGUGAAAUCUCGCUUUAUCUUGUGUUCCUGCUUGCGCGCCUAGCAGCGGGGCCCCGCAGCGCUCUUGGAAGAUCUCGAGACACCCCACGGAGUGCGAGGAACGGCUGCACUAAAGGCUCAGCUUGAAAGUGAAAAGAAAGGCGAAUAUCUGGCGUCUUUAUUUUUUUCACUCAAAAAUGGCAAAAAGGGAGUAUGACUUGCCAACUGGAACCUAUAUUAAAACCAUUUCAUGUUCUGGACAAUUGUAUCUUAUUAACGUUUUUCCCUGUGAGGGUCAUACUUUUCUGUGCCCUUGUAGCUCUCAGAGGUACAGUCUGUAUUUGUAAGUAUGUGUGUUUCCAUGAUACAUGUCUAGAAUACCAUUUUAAAUGCAUGGUAUUUUAUUUCCUUUUUCUACAGAAGAACUUUGAAGUGGCAGCAUAAUUUUCAUACUCCAGUCUGAACUUUAAUUUGACAACACAAUGUCACCUGAUGGGGGAACAGUGUUAUCAACCACUUCUUUUGGGAGACUUGAUAAAUCUAGUCAUAAAGAGACCUUUGAAUUAGCACUAGCUGCGUCUUCAGAAGGGACACCUGAAGAAAAAGGAUAGUCCAAGCUCAAUCAGUCAGAAGCAAGGAGACAAGAACUGCCAUUCUGGAUGAGACUAAAGGAGAUAUGGAUCCUGUCAACAUGAGAAUAGUUGAAGUUCACUAUUGUAUAGCCUGCUUUUGGCUUUUUAAAAUUUAAUUUGCAUUUUCCUUUCUCUAUUUUGAUGAGGUGAUUGACAUUCUCCUCAGCAGACCCUGUUUCCCAGGUUCCCACCCUCAAUUUCUUCAGCUCCUGCCCCCAAUAGCCUCAUGAGUCACCAGCAUGUAAGUCCACUUUGCAAUGUUCUCACCCCCUUAGGUGGUGUUAGGGUAGCUUGUUAUGUUUAAUGCUUUGAAGUUGCACUUGCUUAUAGUAUUGUUUAAAUUUAGCCUUAUUUAAUAACUGCUUAAGUUUUGUCCUUAUUAAUUUUUUUUUUUUUAUUAUUAGCUGGCUUUGAGUUGUUUUGGUAGAGCUCAUAGGUGCUCAUUAUAUCUUUUCUUUUUUAUCAUGGUGAGUUUUGUUAACAUAAGGCAAUGGCCUUGUUACCAGCUCCAAUUAAUUGAACUUGGCACUAACCAGUUGAUUCAGAGGGAUGAAAGCAUUGGAUAUAUUAAUGAAAGGUGAUAAGGGAGACCAAUGGACAAUGCCCAAAGUAACACACCAGAAAAAGGCCAAAUUAAGAGGCAUGCUUGCGAUGGGUCUGUUCAUAGAUUCAUAGAUGUUAGGGUCGGAAGGGACCUCAAUAGAUCAUCAAGUCCGACCCCCUGCAUAGGCAGGGAAAAGUGCUGGGUCUAGAUGACCCCAGCUACAUGGUUAUCUAACCUCCUCUUGAAGACCCCCAGGGUAGGGGAGAGCACCACCUCCCUUGGGAGCCCGUUCCAGACCUUGGCCACUCGAACUGUGAAGAAGUUCUUCCUAAUGUCCAAUCUAAAUCUGCUCUCUGCUAGCUUGUGGCCAUUAUUUCUUGUAACCCCCGGGGGCGCCUUGGUGAAUAAAUACUCACCAAUUCCCUUCUGUGUCCCCGUGAUGAACUUAUAGGCAGCCACAAGGUCGCCUCUCAACCUUCUCUUGCGGAGGCUGAAGAGGUCCAGGUGCCACAGUCUCUCCUCAUAGGGCUUGGACUGCAGGCCCUUAACCAUACGAGUGGCCCUUCUCUGGACCCUCUCCAGGUUAUCCUCAUCCCUCUUGAAGUGUGGUGCCCAGAAUUGCACGCAGUACUCCAACGGUGGUCUGACCAGCGCCCAAUAGAGGGGAAGUAUCACCUCCUUGGACCUAUUCGUCAUGCAUCUGCUGAUGCACAAUAAAGUGCCAUUGGCUUUUCUGAUGGCUUCGUCACACUGCCGACUCAUGUUCAUCUUAGAGUCCGCUAGGACUCCAAGAUCCCUUUCCACUUCCGUGCCACUCAGCAGGUCAUUCCCUAGGCUGUAGGUGUGCUGGACAUUUUUCCUCCCUAGGUGCAGCACUUUGCAUUUCUCCUUGUUGAACUGCAUUCUGUUGUUUUCUGCCCACUUGUCUAACCUGUCCAGGUCUGCUUGCAGCUGUUCCCUGCCCUCCGGCAUGUCCACUUCUCCCCAUAGCUUUGUGUCAUCUGCAAACUUGGACAGAGUACAUUUCACUCCCUCGUCCAAGUCACUGAUGAAGACAUUAAAGAGUAUCGGUCCAAGGACCAAGCCCUGUGGGACCCCACUGCCCACACCCUUCCAGGUCGAAGCCGACCCAUCCACCACGACUCUCUGGGUGCGACCCUCCAGCCAAUUCGCCACCCACCGGACUGUGUAGUCAUCCACGUCACAGCCUCUUAACUUGUUCACCAGUAUGGGGUGGGAUACCGUAUUGAAGGCGUUCCUGAAGUUUAAGUAUACGACAUCCACCCCUACUCCUGCGUCCAGGUGUUUCAUAACCUGGUCAUAAAAAGAGACUAGAUUGGUCAGGCACGAUCUGCCUGCCACGAACCUGUGCUUGUUUCCCCUCAGCAUAAUUUUUCCUGCCGGGCUCUCACAAAUGUGAGCCUUGAUCAUUUUUUCAAAGACUUUGCCAAGGAUGGAGGUGAGACUGACUGGCCUAUAGUUGCCCGGGUCCUCCUUCCUCCCCUUCUUGAAAAUGGGGACCACAUUGGCCCUUUUCCAGUCCUCCGGGACUUGGCCCGUGCGCCACGAGCGUUCAAAUAUUCCCGCCAGUGGCUCUGCAAUGAUGUCGGCCAGUGCCUUCAGCACCCUCGGAUGGAGCUCAUCCGGGCCUGCCGACUUAAAGGCAUCCAGUUCUUCCAAGUGACUCUGCACCAUCUCAGGGUCUACGCAUGGUAGUCUGGCGCCUUGCUGCUGCCUCUCUACAACCCCAGUGAGAGACUUGUCGUGCCCCUCACUUAGGAACACUGAGGCAAAGAACUCGUUGAGGAGUUCAGCCUUGUCCCCCCUGUCCGUCACCAAUUGUUUCUGCCCAUUUAAUAGGGGUCCUAUUCCUCCCUGGGCCUUCCUUUUACUCCCUAUAUAUCUAAAAAACAAUUUCUUGUUGUCCUUUACUUGGGAUGCCAUCCUCAGCUCCAUGGUAGCUUUGGCCCGUCUAACUGCCUCCCUACAAGCACGAGCAGAGGAGGUAUAUUCGUCUUUGGUGAUCUCUCCCUGUUUCCACUUUUUAUGUGCUCCCCUUUUGGCCCUUAGGCUGCCCUGGAUUUCUGUGGUCAGCCAGGGAAGCCUCCUGGCCCCUUUCUCUCUUUUACCCCGCAUGGGGAUCGUCUCGCUUUGUGCCCGAAGGAUCAUUUCCUUAAGGCACAGCCACCCUUCUUGGACUCCCAUCAUUUCAAAACUCCUACGUUGCAGUGCGUCCUUGACUAAUCGCCCGAGUUCAUUUAAAUCAGCUUUCCUAAAGUCUAGCACUUUCACCCUACUAGUUACCUUACCCACUCGCUGUCUUAUGGUGAAUUCUAUUAUUAGGUGAUCACUGUCCCUCAGGUGACCACCGAUCUGUAGGUCCCCUACCAUGUCAUCCCCCGUUGCCAAUACCAGAUCCAGUAUGGCAUUCCCCCUAGUGGGACCAUGUACCUCCUGUGUCAGGUGGAGGUCCUGUACACAGGUUAGAAACCUGCGUGAGCGGUGGGACUUUGCCGUCUGUCUCCCAGCAGCUGUCCGGGUAGUUUAGGUCCCCCAUGACUACCGCCUCUUUAGCUUUUAUGGUCUCCGUGAGCUGCCUCAGGAGCCCCGCAUCUAUUUCUUCCCCUUGGUGUGGGGCUCUGUAGCAGACCCCUACCACCAAAUCCCUUUCUCCUUGCCCCCCAUGUAGCCUAACCCACAAUUCUUCUACUUCCUCAUCCUUGGAUUCCGUCUUGAUGAGGGUUGACGUAUAUUGCUCAUUGACAUAGAGCGCAACCCCUCCCCCUUUUUUCCCCACCCUGUCCUUUCUGUACAAUCUAUAACCCUCAAUAUGUACCGCCCAGUCGUGGGAUGAAUCCCACCAGGUUUCUGUUAGCCCUACUGUUAGACAAAGGAAUAUGCGGGCGAGAUAAAAGAUGGACAAUAUGUUGGCUGCAGAGAGACCAAUCCAAAAGCAAAGAGUCAAAGGAGUGAAGUUGAAGAAAAGCAUAAAAGUGGGGAGCAAGAAAGUUUGUCAUCAUUGUUAUCAUAAAUCCAGCCUUUAACACCUGUCUGGACUGUCCGACCGUACGACGUACCCUUUGCUUCCAGGAACUGAGUGGCUGUCUUUUUUGUUGAGCAAAGUAACAUCUGGGAUUGGGUGAGAUUAUUGUACUGAAUAUUUUUCUCUUUCUGAAUACAGAAACUGCUAAGAUAAUACUUGUUGUACUAAUAAAGUUAAACUUUGAUUUUUGGACACCAAGUUGUCCAAGACUUUGAUUUUAGGA